AUACGGAGGGUGCGAGCGUUAAUCGGAAUUACUGGGCGUAAAGCGCGCGUAGGCGGUUUUGUAAGUCGGAUGUGAAAGCCCAGGGCUUAACCCUGGAAUUGCAUUCGAUACUGCUUAACUAGAGUAUGGUAGAGGGAAGUGGAAUUUCCGGUGUAGCGGUGAAAUGCGUAGAUAUCGGAAGGAACACCAGUGGCGAAGGCGACUUCCUGGGCCAAUACUGACGCUGAGGUGCGAAAGCGUGGGGAGC
rnacentral:rRNA from 1 species